rnacentral:rRNA from 1 species
UACGUAGGUGGCAAGCGUUGUCCGGAUUUACUGGGCGUAAAGAGCGCGCAGGCGGUCGGCCAAGUCGAGUGUGAAAGCCCCCGGCUCAACUGGGGAGGGUCAUUCGAUACUGGUCGACUCGAAGGCAGGAGAGGGAAGCGGAAUUCCCGGUGUAGUGGUGAAAUGCGUAGAUAUCGGGAGGAACACCAGUGGCGAAGGCGGCUUCCUGGCCUGUUCUUGACGCUGAGGCGCGAAAGCUAGGGGAGCAAACGGGG